rnacentral:tRNA from 1 species
GGGCGCGUAGCUCAGUUGGUAGAGCAGCGGACUCUUAAUCCGCCGGUCGUAGGUUCGAUCCCUACCGCGCUCACCA